CUUUUUCAUCCGCCUCAGUCUGGAGUACUGACGAGUUUAUUUUCCCGCCUCCACCCUGUAACUCUGACAAGCAGCUUAUUGGCCAGUAGCUAGCCAAUCCUUGUGUAGAAGGGGCGGGACUCCUAAGUGAAACGGAUGAGAAUUCAGCUUGACGAAGCUCUUUGACGGAUUUGUGUGUUUUUAUUAGUAUAAUAAUACCGGAGUAGUUUAAUUCUAUCUUACAGGAAUAAACUCUAGUCCGUUUCAGAUAAUUUUAUUCUCCGUUAGCUUUAAACAUUUCACCAAAUCAAUCCUAAUCUAUGUAGAACAGUGGUAUAAGCUACAUGUAUAAACACACAUGUCUAAACUUGAAUAAACAACAGGUGGAGGGCCACCCCCGGCUGAACUGUCAGACUCUACCAAAAUGGUUCAGGACAUCCUUGGGGUGGACUCACCUGUCCUGACUGCUAUCCCUGGUGGGUUAGAGAGUGAAGCUGAGACAGUGGAACACAGAACCAUUUCAGCACUGUGGGGAAAAGAAGCUUCAACACCACCAGAGCGCCAACCCAGGCAACAGCUAAG